CGAUCCUCCCAUCUCAACCUCCCACGUGGCUGAGACUAUAG
rnacentral:lncRNA from 1 species